rnacentral:rRNA from 1 species
GUCUGACAGGUGCUGCAUGGCUGUCGUCAGCUCGUGUCGUGAGGAUGUCGGUUAAGUCCGGCAACGAGCGCAACCCGUACUGCCUGUUACCAGCGCGUAAUGCGGGGACUCUGGCAGGACUGCCCGUGUUAAGCGGGAGGAAGGUGCGGAUGACGUCAAGUCAGUAUGGCCCUUACAUCCAGGGCUGCACACGUGCUACAAUGGGUGGUACAGUGGGACGCAAGACCGCGAGGUGGAGCUAAUCCCCAAACCACCCCCAGUUCAGAUCGGAGUCUGCAACUCGACUCCGUGAAGCCGGAAUCGCUAGUAAAGGCGUAUCAGCUACGACGCCUUGAAUACGUUCCCGGGCCUU